AAAAACUUAGUUAAAUUCAUAACAUUAACUUGUCAAGUUAAAAUUAUUAAAACUUAAUAGUUUUUA
rnacentral:tRNA from 1 species